ACCGGAGUUUCUGUCAGAGCAUGUGCAAAGCGCAGGCAGGGGGGAGAGGAGGUUGUAAAGUCUGGCUGUCAAAACUUCCUCUCUGACUGAGAACAGAGGAGCCUGGCGAUAAGAGCGGGGCGGUGGAGACGGCAGGAGACCCCUGGGUGACCCUUUCGGUCAGGUUUCAGCAAGAUCUGGGCCCAGACAUGAGCACCUUGGAGGCGUCAUCUGAAUCUCCGAAACAUCAUCUAGGACAAUAAAAAGAUAACAGAUGAGCUCAUGUUUGGACACACACAUCACCCCGGUGUGUUUAUGUAUAAAGUGUGUGUCGGAUCAGAUGGAUCGCAGAGCAUUUCACAGGCCACCCGUCCGUCAUUCAGCGAAUUUAAACCACAGCACCACUAAACCAUCAGACUCACAGCAUCUGCUCUGUCUGCAGUUAUUUACUUGCAUUCCUGCAACAGUUGGAUGUGGUGAACAAGAGGACAACUGUCUGCGCUCUCGUGACCUCUGAGUGUGUGUGUGUGUGUGUGUGUGUGUGUGUACGGGACGGGCAUCUCUUAUCAUGACACAUUGGGUCAGAUGUGAAUUCUUUGUGGUCAAACAGAUGACUCUCGUACAAACUCAACAUGUUCUCAGCUGCUGUGUUUCCCAAAAAGAUGGUUUGGAAAAGAAUGAUAAAAUCUCAAAUAUAUAAAUACAUUAGGGCUGUCAAUCGCUUUUUUAUCUGUUCUAAAUGUAGCUUAAAUUAAUACUUUUCAAGUUUUUAAUACUCUAAUCAACAUGGGCAUGGGCAAAUAUGGAUGUUUUAUGCAAAUGUACGUAUGUUUAUGAUUAGUGAAACCAUAGUCUGCAUAGAAUAGACAUGUGUCAAAGGUCAUAGAUGUUUUUCAGAGAAUGUAUUAGUAUUUAAAUGACUUUCCAGAUAUUUGUCCUGAUGUAUAUUCAAAUGCACGCAGAUGACAAAACAAAAGAAAAGGUGGCACAAAAAUGAAAAAUUAUUUUAGACUGGUUUACUCAACUUUUACUUCGGAAAAGUGCCUGUGUGUAUUUUAAAACUAAACCGGAUAUAUUAGUUAAUGGUGGAAAAUGACAAGUUGUACCGGAUUUUAAAUAUUUUGGAGUUAUUUAAGAUUCUCAUUUAACAUCUGAAAAGCAUGUUUGAAAAGUAGUCUGUUCAGUGACACCUCAACUUAGACAUUUUACAUUUAUACGGAGUCAACUUUCAAUAGAAGCUUCAAGAGUCUUUUUGAAUUCUUUGAUCUUUUUUAAUUUUUCCUGUUGAUUUACUUCAUGGUCACAAGCAGGAACAUCCACUCUUAGACAUUUAAACGUGCUUUUAAAAAGAAACCCAACAGAUAUCAUCAUUGUUUCAUAACCAAUAAGUACAUUUUCUUUUCUUUCGACAAUUUUGUUAUGUUACAAUUGUUGUAAAAUUGUUAUGAUCUUGCACCUUCACCCUUGAAAGAAUUUGUUUUCUCUUGUACUGAACAUAUAAGACAAACUAGAGCAUCGUCAAGAGGUGAUUGGUCAUUUUUUUGGUCACUCGUUAUUCAUUCACUCGUUUGGCAAUGCACCAACAAAGAAAUUUUAGUCUGAUUUUUUUAUUUUUUAUUGUUCAUCUAAGUGACGUUUCUUUCUAUUUUAAAGGAGUCAUUGGAUGCUACAUGCACUUUUACAAGUUGUUUAGCUUUGAAAUUAAAUAUAUGUGUUGGCAGUGUGUGUACACAACCACCCUAUAAUGAUAAAAAUCCACCCCUAAUGUUGUUGUUGUUUUUUUUUAAUCUCGUUAAAUCAUUUCCCCUUUCUCAAAUCAAGCCGAUCUCAGACGCCUGGCUGUGUGACCCCUUCGAAAGAACAUACAGGAAAAUAUAACUUAAUUGAUUUGUUUCCUAGCUAAAAUUCACAUAAAGAAAAAUUUACUAGCUCUAAAUCUAUCUUUUCUUUAUUCAGAGUUGAUCCAAGUAUAUGCAAAACCUAAAGCAGUGAAAACUGCAUCUCUAUAUUCAUAUAUGUCCAUGGACUCCAUGCACUUAAGAUGAAAAAAACUACUAAACCAUAGUUUAACGGUGGUAUUUAGUAAAACUGUGGUUAUACAAUUCUUUCUUUCUUUCUUUUUGUUUUUGUAAUUGUACUGCCUUUAAUGGUUUGCUGUUUUUGUAUAGGCCCAACACAUAGGCCUACUGUUCAAUAAUAAUAAUAAUAAUAAUAAAAAAAGAUAAAAAGAAAUCAGAAAAAAGUUUUGCGAUAAGCGCUCUGAAGUUACGAUCUGAAUCAAAAGAUUUGCAAACUUUCUCUGAAUUUUGGAUCUAACUCAUUCAAUUCGCGAUAGGAUAUAAUUCGCGAAACCGGAACAGAGUCCCAAAAUCAAAUGAUUUGCGAUAUAUGCGAUCCGAAAUCCUGAACUGAAUCAAGUGAUUCGCGAAACUGAAUCAAAUGAACGAAUGAAGAAUACUUCAUUUAUUUGUUUUGGCAAUGCACUUGCAGAAAAAUUUUGGUCAGAUUUUUUCAUGUUGAUUCAAUCAUAUUUUGUAAGUGACUUUUUGUUUUAAAUAUGCCUAUUUUUUUGAUUAUUUGAUUCAAAAGAGAAUGCGGGAAAAUAUUACAUAAAAAAUUUGUUUUCUGUAAGCUAAAAAUCACAUUCACAAUGUUUUUUUUUUUUUUUUUUUACUGACUCUUAACCUCUCUUUUCUUUGUUCAAAGUUGACUUAGAUAAGUAUAUGGAAAUUAUCCAAAGUUUUGCUAAUUUUAAUGCUAUGAAAACUGUAUCUGCAUUCUGCAACAUAAAGAUGUAAUGUAUUACCCAGUUUUUUUUUUACCCUGGCAACAAGCCUAUAUGUGUAUUCUUGUUUUUUUUUUUGUUUGUUUUUUUUUCUUCAAAUGAUUCGCGAUAUCCGCUUUGAAGUCCCGCUCUGAAUCAAAUGAAUCAUUUGCGACGCAGUUUAACGGAUUCGGAUUUUAGAACUCAUUACAAGCGAUGUCGAAAUUCGAAAACGAAUGGCUCUUUUGGUUUGGUUUUUGCUAGUGAAUCGCUUAAACAUAAUGAUCGAAGUCACGAGUUUGAAUCAUUCGAAUCGGUUCCAGCGUAAAUGACUCGUAAAUGACUAGUUUGAGCUGCAGUUCAGUUGCUGACAGUUCAACAGGAAAUCAUUUGAAAUCAUCCAGUCAUCUCAUAUACCACUGAAGUAAAUGUUGAAUUCAUCAGUAUAUAUUGUAAUCAAUAUUUGAGAAAUUAUUGUUGUAUCUGAUUGUAUUAGUCAGAAUGAUAGUGAAUGUAAAAAGCACUUGGGAGAAGCAGAUGAACGCAAAACAGCAGAACAACAAAAGGGUAAACUUUAAAUCUUUAAAAUUAUUUCUAGGGACAAUUUAGUAGUCGCUGGAUAUUGGUAGGGACCCUACUAAAUUCCCAAACUUUUGAACAUAGUGUAGGCCUAUAUAAUUAUAACUUCACACUCACAGACAGAUGUUCUUGGUUUCCAUGUUUGGAUGGAAGGCCGUACGUGUGUAAUUAGUUUGUAACCUCUGAAUGAAAGGCUGUGAAGGCUGGUGUCUGUAAUCAUCAGGAUGCUCAAGCAGCAGCUGCUCCUCCAUUGUGCUCCAGUUCAGCAGCCCUGCUCACACACGCUGAUCUUUAGAAGCUCAUUGGACAGCUGACCUCCAGCCCUCAGCUGCUUGUGCUGUCAAUCAAACCAUCAGCUGCUCCACUCAGGAUCAACGUCCUGCCAGAAAUACGAUCAUUCAGCAGUCGCCCCUUAAAAACUACAGUGAUGGUCUCAGAAUGGCACUGAAUGAUUGUUGUAUUCAAAUACCAUUGCAUUUGCAUUCUCAAAGGUCAUUAAACAUGCUAAUAUUGUGCUAUGUUUUUAGUGGCUACGUUCACAUAUAUUUAUUCAGUUUUUUUUGUACCGUGCUCUCAACUAGACAUUUAUCAUGUUAUUCAUAAAAUAAAAAAAGAAAGAAAUGAUUGCUUGAAUGAAUGAAUAAAUAAGUGCUGUCAAACGAUUAAUCGCGAUUAAUCGCAUCCAAAUUAAACGUUUUUGUUUACAUAAUAUAUGUGUGUGUACUGUGUAUAUUUAUUAUGUGUAUAUAAAGACACACACACAGUAAAUAUUUAGAAAAUAUUUGCAUGCAUAUAUUUAUAUUCUUAUAUUUUAUAUUAUAUAUAAAUAUUAGUGCUGUCAAAUGAUUAAUCGCGAUUAAUCGUAUCCAAAAUAAAAGUUUUUGUUUACAUAAUAUAUGUAUGUGUGCUGUGUAUAUUUAUUAUGUAUAUAUAAAAACACGAACAUACAGUAAAUAUUUUGAAAAUAUUUACAUGCAUAUAUUUAUAUUCUUUUAUUUUAUAUUAUAUAUAAAUAUUAGUGCUGUCAAACGAUUAAUCGCAUCCAAAUUAAACGUUUUUGUUUACAUAAUAUAUGUGUGUGUACUGUGUAUAUUUAUUAUGUAUAUAU
ensembl:lncRNA